rnacentral:lncRNA from 1 species
UUUUUUUUUUUUUUUUUUUUAAGAAAUUCAUUUAUUUAAGAGAGACUGAGAGCAAGAGAGAUCACAGAGGGAGAGGGAGGGGGAGUAGCAGACUCUCUGCUGAGCAGGGAGCCCGAUGUGGGGCUCAAUAACAGGUCUCUGGGAUCAUGACCCAAGCGGAAGGCAGAUGCCCAACUGACUGAGCCACCCAGGAGCCCCAGGACACCUCUUCUGAUAGAAUUAUGUGACAAGAACAACAAACUCUGCCAUCAAGACUGAAAACUAACUAGCGAGCAUUAUCCUUGGUAUUGCUAUCACACUGUGAAACUCUACCUGAGAAUAAAGAAAAAAAUAGAAAAAGAGCAAAAAUGACAACAACGAUGAUGACGAUGAUGAUAGAUUUAAAGAUUGACAAGAGAUGAUACAUGGAGCCAUAGAAAGACAAUACAUACAUAAUAUAUGAAUAGAGAGAAACUGAUUAUUCACAGAGACUGACUUGUAAUGACGUAUUUCUGAGAACAUGAAUACAGUCACAUCCAAUCUUGGACUUUCCAACUUUGCAAGCCAAUAAACUCCUUCCUUUGCAUGAAGCAGGAAGUUGGGUUUCUGUAAUGUGCAGCCAAGACCCCUGACUGUUACAAUUUCCAAGGCCACUUCCAGCAUUAAGUCCACGGCUUCGGCAGCACAUUCCAAAUUUUUCCAACAAAGUAUCCCUCAUGGGCUAAGGAGAAUGAACAAAACACCCAAGAGUCAAGCCCUUCUGCUAAGCCACCCUGAUGUUUCUUUAGAGUCUCAUAUAUUACUUCUUAGAAAUCUAAGCAGAAAAUCGCGUUAAUUUUCUAACCUGCUUCACGAUAUUUUGUCUUAAUACAAAAGUAUUUCCUCUGAAUUGUCAGGUAAAAUCAACCACCCAAGAAGAUGCGCUGCAUGAUUCUGAAGGUUCGUAUAUGCCAUCUGAACACAGCACCUCAUGCUCCUAUAGACAACAUACCCUAGUUUAAAAGAACAGGUGUAGGGGAAGGCUCAAAUUCACACAGAGGUCAAGCAGGUAAGACAAAGGGUGCAGGAGAGGAAACACAAGCCAGUCCAAGGCGGCGGCUUCCACCACUCCACUUACUUGUGGCUAUGGGGGAGUGUUUUUUAAAUCCCCACGCAGGCCAAAUCCACAACAUGAAUAAAAUCAAGGCAAAAAUCACUCCUCCAUUAAACAUUUUAAAUAAACAUUCUCUGCUUUCCCAUCUAAAAUACAGGCAACUACUUACACUAUUGCUAACAUCGAUUCUCCAGAUAACCCGUGUUUGUCUUCUUAUUAAAAAUCCU